rnacentral:rRNA from 1 species
CAAUAGCGUAUAUUAAAGUUGUUGCAGUUAAAAAGCUCGUAGUUGGAUUUCUGGUGGGAGCGAUCGGUCUGGCGCUUAGCGCGAGUACUUGCAUCGUCUCCGGCCAUCCUUGGGGAGAGUCUGUCUGGCAUUAGGUUGUCGGGCAGAGGAUCCUCAUCGUUUACUGUGAAAAAAUUAGAGUGUUCAAAGCAGGCUUAUGCCGUUGAAUAUAUUAGCAUGGAAUAAUAAGAUAGGACUUUGGUACUAUUUUGUUGGUUUGCGCACCAAAGUAAUGAUUAAUAGGGACAGUUGGGGGUAUUCGUAUUCCGUUGUCAGAGUUGAAAUUCUUGGAUUUACGGAAGACGAACUACUGCGAAAGCAUUUACCAAGGAUGUUUUCAUUAA